AUUCAACGCUGGCGGCAGGCCUAACACAUGCAAGUCGAACGAGUGGCGGACGGGUGAGUAAUGUCUGGGAAACUGCCCGAUGGAGGGGGAUAACUACUGGAAACGGUAGCUAAUACCGCAUACCAUCGGAUGUGCCCAGAUGGGAUUAGCGAGUAGGUGGGGUAAUGGCUCACCUAGGCGAAGAUCCCUAGCUGGUCUGAGAGGAUGACCAUCCACACUGGAACGGAGAAACGGUCCAGACUCCUACGUGAGGCAGCAGUGUGGAAUAUUGCACAAUGGGCGAAAGCCUGAUGCAGCCGUGCCGCGUUUAUGAAGAAGGCAUUCGGGUUGUAAAGUACUUUCAGCGAGGAGGCGUUACUCGCAGAAGAAGCACCGGCUAACUCCGUGCCAGCCGCCGCGGUAAUAC
rnacentral:rRNA from 1 species